rnacentral:rRNA from 1 species
AAACCGUGUACGUACAAGCAGUGGGAGCACCUUCGGGUGUGAUGCGUACCUUUUGUAUAAUGGGUCAGCGACUUAUAUUCUGUAGCAAGGUUAACCGUAUAGGGGAGCCGCAGGGAAACCGAGUCUUAACUGGGCGUUAAGUUGCAGGGUAUAGACCCGAAACCCGGUGAUCUAGCCAUGGGCAGGUUGAAGGUUGGGUAACACUAACUGGAGGACCGAACCGACUAAUGUUGAAAAAUUAGCGGAUGACUUGUGGCUGGGGGUGAAAGGCCAAUCAAACCGGGAGAUAGCUGGUUCUCCCCGAAAGCUAUUUAGGUAGCGCCUCGUGAACUCAUCUUCGGGGGUAGAGCACUGUUUCGGCUAGGGGGUCAUCCCGACUUACCAACCCGAUGCAAACUACGAAUACCGAAGAAUGUUAUCACGGGAGACACACGGCGGGUGCUAACGUCCGUCGUGAAGAGGGAAACAACCCAGACCGCCAGCUAAGGUCCCAAAGUCAUGGUUAAGUGGGAAACGAUGUGGGAAGGCACAGACAGCCAGGAUGUUGGCUUAGAAGCAGCCAUCAUUUAAAGAAAGCGUAAUAGCUCACUGGUCGAGUCGGCCUGCGCGGAAGAUGUAACGGGGCUAAACCAUGCACCGAAGCUGCGGCAGCGACACUAUGUGUUGUUGGGUAGGGGAGCGUUCUGUAAGCCUGCGAAGGUGACCUGUGAGGGUUGCUGGAGGUAUCAGAAGUGCGAAUGCUGACAUAAGUAACGAUAAAGCGGGUGAAAAGCCCGCUCGCCGGAAGACCAAGGGUUCCUGUCCAACGUUAAUCGGGGCAGGGUGAGUCGACCCCUAAGGCGAGGCCGAAAGGCGUAGUCGAUGGGAAACAGGUUAAUAUUCCUGUACUUGGUGUUACUGCGAAGGGGGGACGGAGAAGGCUAUGUUAGCCGGGCGACGGUUGUCCCGGUUUAAGCAUGUAGGCUGAUUGUCCAGGCAAAUCCGGAUAAUCAAGGCUGAGGUGUGAUGACGAGGCACUACGGUGCUGAAGUAACAAAUGCCCUGCUUCCAGGAAAAGCCUCUAAGCAUCAGGUAACAUCAAAUCGUACCCCAAACCGACACAGGUGGUCAGGUAGAGAAUACCAAGGCGCUUGAGAGAACUCGGGUGAAGGAACUAGGCAAAAUGGUGCCGUAACUUCGGGAGAAGGCACGCUGGUGUGUAGGUGAAGCCCCUGCGGGUGGAGCUGAGACCAGUCGAAGAUACCAGCUGGCUGCAACUGUUUAUUAAAAACACAGCACUGUGCAAACACGAAAGUGGACGUAUACGGUGUGACGCCUGCCCGGUGCCGGAAGGUUAAUUGAUGGGGUUAUCCGUAAGGAGAAGCUCUUGAUCGAAGCCCCGGUAAACGGCGGCCGUAACUAUAACGGUCCUAAGGUAGCGAAAUUCCUUGUCGGGUAAGUUCCGACCUGCACGAAUGGCGUAAUGAUGGCCAGGCUGUCUCCACCCGAGACUCAGUGAAAUUGAACUCGCUGUGAAGAUGCAGUGUACCCGCGGCAAGACGGAAAGACCCCGUGAAC